GCCAGCAGUCGCCAGGUGUCUCUCACACUGCUGGGAGAGGAAUGUCUUGUCUUCUUCAUCUGGUCGCCCACGUCACUGUUCUAGGGGCUUCUGGCACUGGCGCAAGGCAGAGCUGUGCUUCCUUGAGAGUGUGCCAGGCAUUUACUUUGGUUGCUUCAUUCUAGUCUGGGAGCAGACACA
ensembl:snoRNA SNORA74 Small nucleolar RNA SNORA74